rnacentral:rRNA from 1 species
CUAAGAAUCUUGCGCAAUGGGCGAAAGCCUGACGCAGCAAUUCCGCGUGGAGGACGAAGGCCUUCGGGUCGUAAACUCCUUUUGUGAGGGAAGAAGAUCUGACGGUACCUCACGAAUAAGACACGGCUAACUACGUGCCAGCAGCCGCGGUAAUACGUAGGUGUCGAGCGUUGUCCGGAUUUAUUGGGCGUAAAGAGCCCGCAGGCGGCCUGGCAAGUUCGAGGUGAAAUCUCCCGGCUCAACUGGGAGGGUGCCUCGAAAACUGGCAGGCUUGAGGCAGGGAGAGGGAUGUGGAAUUCCCGGUGUAGUGGUGAAAUGCGUAGAUAUCGGGAGGAACACCAGUGGCGAAGGCGGCAUCCUGGCCCUGUCCUGACGCUCAGGGGCGAAAGCGUGGGGAGCAAACC